rnacentral:lncRNA from 1 species
GACGGUUGACAAGUGAAGCGACCCUUCGCGGUGCGCGGAUGUCGUGGGAUUAGGUUCGCCAUACAUGGUUAAGAAAUUCGAAUCGAUUUGUCUGCCUCUCACAGUUUGGGACUACUUGAUCACUAUGCUACACUGAGUAAGAGUGAAAGAUGAUGAUGAUCUAAUAUUGCUACCUGUAUUAUUCGCUUGGAAACUAUGCUUGGUUUAGUAUAGUUGCUAACUUAGAAUGGUAAA